rnacentral:rRNA from 1 species
GUGUGAGCCAUGUGCCAAGAAAAGCCGCUAUUGUUUUUAUUUUACCCGUACCGUAAACCGACACAGGUGGAUGAGGAGAGAAUCCUAAGGCCGACGGGAGAAGCAUUGUUAAGGAACUCGGCAAAAUAACCCCGUAACUUCGGGAGAAGGGGUGCCCAUGAAAGUGGGCCGCAGAGAAUAGGCUCAAGCAACUGUUUAGCAAAAACACAGGUCUAUGCAAAACCGAAAGGUGAAGUAUAUGGGCUGACGCCUGCCCGGUGCUGGAAGGUUAAGAGGAGAAGUGCAAGCUUUGAAUUUAAGCCCCAGUAAACGGCGGCCGUAACAAUAACGGUCCUAAGGUAGCGAAAAUUCCUUGUCGGGUAAGUUCCGACCCGCACGAAAGGCGUAAUGAUUUGAGCACUGUCUCGACAAUGCACCCGGUGAAAUUGAAGUACCAGUGAAGAUGCUGGUUACCUGCGCCAGG